UGACAUAACCGAUUCAGGCAAUAAUGACACAUGGCUGUUGGGCGGACCGUGUAGGAUGACGGGUCAGGCACCAUCAUGUGACCCCCUCUGGCUGCCCUCAGGAUCACUCAUGGAGGGCAACCAGACACGAGGGGCCUCGUGACAGACAUACACCUGGGAAGUGCCAUUACCAGAUUUAACCAGAAUUGGAUCAAGCUUCUGCGUCAAACUCUGGUGUACUGGAAAUUCAUGGGCUGGAGGAACAGGGUAAAGGACACCAGAGGGAUGCAAGCAGCUAAAUGCAGCAAGGGGGAAACUCCAAAGGACAAGUGACCUGGUUUCUUCCCAAAAUAAAUUCCAAGGGGAAAAAAAAAAGGCGGGGAGGUGAAACUUAAAGAUUAAAAGAGCCUGAAGAGACCCAUCAACCAAGUACAACAGAAGAAGCAUGAUUAACAAAACAAUUCUUUUUAAAAAAGAUCUCUCCGACACAAGAGAAAGCACUGUUCCUGCUGAGAAAGGGCCUCGGGUGACAGCACUCUGGAAGCUGCUAACCCCCCCCGGCUCCCACCUUACAGGGCAGAGGCCCUUACCUCCGGGGUGUGCCGUCGUCGAAAGGCGGGAUGAUGACCACCUUGACGGUGACAGAGGUGCGCAGGAGGUCGAUCAUCUGAUCGUGGGUCAGCGUGACCACAGCCACCUUGCAGAUCUCCACCAGUCGGCUGCCUUGCCGGAGGCCGGCCUGCCAGGCAAACCCGUAGUCCUCCACCUCGGCCACUGUCCCAUCGUACUUCACGUGGAAGCCCAGCUGCCCAAGCCCGUUCCGCCGCAGGGUCAUGUCCACCGUCUCCCAGCCAUUGGUCAUGACCUGUAGGCAACAGGCAGUAUCUAGCCUCAGAAGAAGCUGUUUGGGGCCAGCUCUGGACGACCCCUGCACAGAUUCCCUCCUUCGGGGCCUAAGACUCUGCUGACCCCCAUCCCUCCCAGAUGACACGAGGAUAUAGAAGCAUGAACACCCAUCUAAUCCCAGCCUGGGCUCCUGACUUCUGAAGAAGAAAUGUGGAUAUGUAACCAUGUGGCUUAUUAGCUUGCAGAGACCAUGAGAGUCAUGAGCCAUGUUCUCCAAAUGCUCCUGGCCUCCCUCUUUCCCCAGCUGUCGGGGGAAUUAUACUUCCUGGCUUCCUGGGGGUGGGCUCUGGGACGUGUUUUGGUCAAUGAGUUGUGAGUGGAAAUCUAGGUCAUGUCAUCUAGGCUGGGGCAUUUAAUUGCUGGUGCCAGACCCUCCAUAGGCCUUUUCCCUCUGCUACAUCUCCUGGGGUCCCAGAGUGAAAACAAUGUGGAACAGAGACUCUUGCUGAACGUAAGAUGGACAUGUAGUGUGGGCAACAGCUAAAUUUUUGUUGUUUUAAGCCACUAAUAUUUUAUCCUGACCCGAUGACUCUAAGCAAAGUAGGCUAGAGAAGCAGCAGACCAGAGAUCCUGGGAUCCUUUCUGGUUGGGGGCUCGUGCCACACUUUUUACUUCACGACCUCAUUCAUAGCAGCGCAGCCCCCUCCCCGAUCUCCUCCUCAAACUGACCUCCACCCUGGAGCUGCCUAGACCACACAAGGCCUUGCUUACAUCUCACUCCCUGCUUCACCUGUGAAUGAAGUGAGUGUCACCACAAUCGAGUACUAUUCUAGAAAGGAUGACCUGCCGAAGAGAACCCCGGUCCCUCAGUGUGUCCUGAGAAAUUCCCUCCUCUUCUUGGGAGAAAAAGAUUCACUUAACAAGCCACAGCUACAGCUAUUAAACAAGUGACAUUGA